rnacentral:rRNA from 1 species
AGUGAACGCUGGCGGUAGGCCUAACACAUGCAAGUCGAACGGCAGCACAGAGGAGCUUGCUCCUUGGGUGGCGAGUGGCGGACGGGUGAGGAAUACAUUGGAAUCUACUCUGUCGUGGGGGAUAACGUAGGGAAACUUACGCUAAUACCGCAUACGACCUACGGGUGAAAGCAGGGGAUCUUCGGACCUUGCGCGAUUGAAUGAGCCGAUGUCGGAUUAGCUAGUUGGCGGGGUAAAGGCCCACCAAGGCGACGAUCCGUAGCUGGUCUGAGGGGAUGAUCAGCCACACUGGAACUGAGACACGGUCCAGACUCCUACGGGAGGCAGCAGUGGGGAAUAUUGGACAAUGGGCGCAAGCCUGAUCCAGCCAUACCGCGUGGGUGAAGAAGGCCUUCGGGUUGUAAAGCCCUUUUGUUGGGAAAGAAAUCCAUCUGGUUAAUACCCGGGUGGGAUGACGGUACCCAAAGAAUAAGCACCGGCUAACUUCGUGCCAGCAGCCGCGGUAA